UGUUUUAGCGCCAGGCUCUGCGGUUUUACUUUUAAGCAGAGUGACGAGGAGAGAAACUAUCGAAAUUUUCGGCGGGUGUUUCUCCGGCAGAUCCAAUGUCGUAAGGACGUAUACAAAAACAUGCCGUAUGAAAGGUGUGAGA
rnacentral:ncRNA from 1 species